UUAUUUGAGAGUUUGAUCCUGGCUCAGGAUGAACGCUGGCGGCGUGCCUAACACAUGCAAGUUGAGCGAUUUACUUCGGUAAAGAGCGGCGGACGGGUGAGUAACGCGUGGGUAACCUACCCUGUACACACGGAUAACAUACCGAAAGGUAUGCUAAUACGGGAUAACAUACUUGAGAGGCAUCUCUUAAAUAUCAAAGGUGAGCCAGUACAGGAUGGACCCGCGUCUGAUUAGCUAGUUGGUAAGGUAACGGCUUACCAAGGCGACGAUCAGUAGCCGACCUGAGAGGGUGAUCGGCCACAUUGGAACUGAGACACGGUCCAAACUCCUACGGGAGGCAGCAGUGGGGAAUAUUGCACAAUGGGCGAAAGCCUGAUGCAGCAACGCCGCGU
rnacentral:rRNA from 1 species